UUUAUUGGAGAGUUUGAUCCUGGCUCAGGAUGAACGCUGGCGGCGUGCCUAAUACAUGCAAGUCGAGCGAAUGGAUUAAGAGCUUGCUCUUAUGAAGUUAGCGGCGGACGGGUGAGUAAUACGUGGGUAACCUGCCCAUAAGACUGGGAUAACUCCGGGAAACCGGGGCUAAUACCGGAUAACAUUUUGAACUGCAUGGUUCGAAAUUGAAAGGC
rnacentral:rRNA from 1 species